rnacentral:rRNA from 1 species
GAUGAACGCUAGCGGCAGGCUUAAUACAUGCAAGUCGAGGGGCAGCAUGAUUGUAGCAAUACAAUUGAUGGCGACCGGCAAACGGGUGCGGAACACGUACACAACCUCCCAAUAAGUGGGGAAUAGCCCAGAGAAAUUUGGAUUAAUACCCCGUAACAUAACGAUGUGGCAUCACAUUGUUAUUAUAGAUUUUUCGCUUAUUGAUGGGUGUGCGGCUGAUUAGGUAGUUGGCGGGGUAACGGCCCACCAAGCCUUCGAUCAGUAGCUGAUGUGAGAGCAUGAUCAGCCACACGGGCACUGAGACACGGGCCCGACUCCUACGGGAGGCAGCAGUAAGGAAUAUUGGUCAAUGGACGCAAGUCUGAACCAGCCAUGCCGCGUGAAGGAUUAAGGUCCUCUGGAUUGUAAACUUCUUUUAUAUGGGACGAAAAAAGGGUAUUCUUAUCCGUCUGACGGUACCAUAUGAAUAAGCACCGGCUAACUCCGUGCCAGCCGCCGCAGUAACAC